GGAUUGUCUAACUGGAAUACACUCACCCCCUGCUUGAGUGAGGACUGGGUUCAUAAACCUAACUAAUCAAGCGCGUGGAGGGCAAGCAUGGUUUACAAUGCACAAACCUUUAGUUCUGGUUUGCCAGAGUUUGUUGCUGUAUUUCAUAUUUGUGUAUCUCAAAUCACUCAAAUUCAGUUUAGGAGAGGAAUGGACAGUUCUUGAGUGAUCCUGUUGUGUUUCAAUAUUUGAAAAUGGAGACUACUUGUAUUGGUGACGCUUCAAGUAACAAUUUGGUUAUUUGAAUCUCUUCGUACUGCUGCGCUGCUUAGGUGGUUGUCAUUGCGUUCAAAGGACCAUCCUGCGGAGACUGGACAUUUAAGUAAAAAUGUCCACAGAAUGACCUUUAUGACAUUAGCAUGACAUUAUUGGCUGUAGUUCUUUCUCUAAAGUAUGAAAUUUCUCCUAGUUGUAACUUGUUCAACUUCCC